CUUGCUUCAAUGUACAGCUCACAUCCUGCAUCUUCUCUUCUGAUAGAUCCUCCCUCCUUUACUUGGAUCGAAUUUAUUUUCUUCUAACAAGAGUUGCGAUUUUUUCUCAGGCAUAGAGGGUUUAGUGUCGAUUUCCUUUGUUCCUCGAUGAACUGACACUCAUAGCAAUGGCAACUUUCCUCUUUUCAUCGACAGCUCCGAGACCAAAGUUAUGUUUCGUCCUCACUCUUCUCGUAUCUCUUACUUCAUUGGGGUACUAAUCUCCCUUACCUGUCUCCUUUUAUCCAGUUCAAUGAGGCUGAUAAACUAUCUUCGGCUGUGAUAGUGACGAAAACCUCCUUCUCGCCUUCCUCGCAAAUCGAGUACACUUCAUCGAAUAUGUUUUCAUUUGUUUUAUUGAGGAUUUCAACCCGCCGCUGAUUCUAUACACACUUCUACCGGGAUCAAGAUGAAAACCAGAAUGGUAAAAUCUCUUCUACAAUGCUACGUUCACUUGAAUCCUAGUUUCAAAAUGCUGUUUAAUAUCUUUUACGUUUCAGGAUUCGAGGCCUGGGGAAGUAGGGUGGCCACAAACGAGAUUGAGCUAGCUAAAGAAUCUCAAUCAAAAUAAGAGGGGGAGGAGGAUUCAUUGGAGGGAACGACCUAGCCUACAUGGACUCGCUUCCUGAUAGACAUGUUGAUCACGAUUUAAGUACACGAGCAAGACGCUAGAUUUAAUGUGGUUUCCAAUGGUAAGGUCGACUAGUUUACAGGGAAGUAGAAGAAGAGAAGAUGUUAUUAUCAAGAAGCAAGAGAAUGAAAGAGUAUAGAGAAUUAAGAGAGGAGAAUCAAUGACAAUAUUAAUUUGCUGAUAAGAAUCAAUGACAAUUGGUAGGAACGACCUUUGUUGACAAAUUAACUAUCUUCUUUUUAGAGGUCACAUCAAAUAACUUCAUAACACCUUUCUAUACAACAUUUCGAAUAUAGUGUACAUGUAUUUCAAUAUGCUUCGUACAAUCAUGGAGAACAUGAUUCGCAUUAAUUUGAAUCUCACUAGUAUUGUCACCAAAUAAAUAAAUUGGAGUAGGAAUAGAGACUCCUAUGUCUGC
rnacentral:lncRNA from 1 species